rnacentral:lncRNA from 1 species
GGACUGCCCAUGAAGGAAGGGACUGUCAUCACUGCCCUGCUGGUUUCAGAUUUCAGCCAUCAUAACUUUGUCUACUUGUAUGUGGUAUGAAAACAGAGUGACAGUAAUUUGUGCUUGGUGCUCAUCAGACACACUGUAACUGGGGGGAGAGGUUAGGGUCUGCAGGAAUCUAAUUUAAUCGAUGAGCUCCACCAGCAGGCCAAGUUCCCUGGGAGAUUGGUUUACAUUCAGCAGUAUUUUCCCAGGAAGGGCGUCAGUAUGUCUCCAUCUUCAAACAAGCUGGGAACAUGGGACAUUUGACAGAGAUUGUUCCUUUGAAGUCAAUACUAAAUUGAGGCCUGUCUGCAAUAUUGAAUUUGUAUUCCAAAGGAAAGAGCUCUUACAGAAAUAUCUAGAGAAACAGUGCCUUUGCUGAAAUGUUCUGUGUUAGUCUCUUGCUAUAUCAGGACCAAGAUGGUUGCUGCUGUAAAACCAGUGAGAAUCAUCUACUUUUAAAUGUGUUGGCUUUUGUCUUACUCAUGCUUUGCACCAGGGUACAAAAAGAGAGACUUUUAUUCUUCAGCAUUUAAAUAUUAAAGGAAAAAAAAUUAAAUUACUUACAUUGGUAAUUCCCAAAGAGUUUCCAUGCCAGCCUAAGAAAACUUAGGAAAAUGAACAUACUUAAUCUUAGCUAAAAUCUCAACACUACAUUUUAACAAAGAUUCCCAAGUAAUUGUGACUUCAAGUCACUGCUCACAACAGCUACAUUUCCAGGGAAACAGGAAUGGAGCUGGGCUGGUGUUUUUGAUUUAGCCAGACUCCUUUGGUGGGAGAGAAGCAAAGGAGAGAGGAGAUGAGAUAAACCUUCAGAUUCUGAGUCCUCUUGCCAGAUUGGUCGUACUAGUCACUACAGAGAGAAUUUAUCCUGUCCUUCUGAACCUGUAAAGAUUAGCUUACUGUUUAAUUAAAAUUGGUCAUGCAACAUACACAGAGUUUUUUCUCUCUUUUUUUUCUUUUUAUUUUUAAUGUGAAGGGACUAUGCCAUAAACACAAGUCUUUAACAGCCACUAGAUUUUCAGUUUCUCUCAGGAAAAAAAAUAAUUAACAAGAUUAAGGAAUCUUAAACUAAUUUAAAUUGCUUCUUUCUAGGUCAAGCAAAUAUUAUAUGAAACAUGCUUCCUUGAAUAGUAGGCUUUAUGUAGACCUUUAGACUUGUAUAGUUACAGAUAUUAAUAGGUGAAUCUAUGCAAUGACAGUUCAGAUGUGUGCUUGAAUGCAUUCUUUGCUGAUAUGCUGGAUUUAUGGCAACUGGACCAGAGGUCUGUGAAACUUUGCUUGUCUCAUUCCCAACUGGAUUGAAAUGCUUCUGCUGUUCAGUAGCCUUGUAUGCUUGUCACCAUCAAUGUUCCCUCUAAUUUAUUUCUCUGUGUGUGACAAAUGACCUCCUGAAUACCAAUGUGAAACUUGUAGCCCUAAUUCACACAAUGCUGGAAAUGGGACAGCAAAAUAAAUGAGUGUGUGAUCCUCUUUCUUUUUUUUGA